GGGUCGGUGGCCGAGUGGUUAAUGGCAGCAGACUGUAAAUCUGCCGGCGAAUGCCUACGGUGGUUCGAACCCAUCCCGGCCCA
rnacentral:tRNA from 1 species